GACGAACGCUGGCGGCGUGCCUAAUACAUGCAAGUUGAGCGCUGAAGGUUGGUACUUGUACCAACUGGAUGAGCAGCGAACGGGUGAGUAACGCGUGGGGAAUCUGCCUUUGAGCGGGGGACAACAUUUGGAAACGAAUGCUAAUACCGCAUAAAAACUUUAAACACAAGUUUUAAGUUUGAAAGAUGCAAUUGCAUCACUCAAAGAUGAUCCCGCGUUGUAUUAGCUAGUUGGUGAGGUAAAGGCUCACCAAGGCGAUGAUACAUAGCCGACCUGAGAGGGUGAUCGGCCACAAUGGGACUGAGACACGGCCCAAACUCCUACGGGAGGGAGCAGGAGGGAAUCUUCGGAAAUGGACGAAAGUCUGACCGAGCAACGCCGCGUGAGUGAAGAAGGUUGUCGGAUCGUAAAACUCUGUUGGUAGAGAAGAACGUUGGUGAGAGUGGAAAGCUCAUCAAGUGACGGUAACUACCCAGAAAGGGACGGCUAACUACGUG
rnacentral:rRNA from 1 species